rnacentral:rRNA from 1 species
GCUACCAGCACGUUAUGGUGGGCACUCUAAGGAGACUGCCGGUGACAAACCGGAGGAAGGUGGGGAUGACGUCAAGUCAUCAUGGCCCUUACGGCCUGGGCUACACACGUGCUACAAUGGUCGGUACAAAGGGUUGCCAAGCCGCGAGGUGGAGCUAAUCCCAUAAAACCGAUCGUAGUCCGGAUCGCAGUCUGCAACUCGACUGCGUGAAGUCGGAAUCGCUAGUAAUCGUGAAUCAGAAUGUCACGGUGAAUACGUUCCCGGGCCUU